rnacentral:rRNA from 1 species
UAGGGAAUCUUCGGCAAUGGGGGGAACCCUGACCGAGCAACGCCGCGUGAGUGAAGAAGGAUUUCGGAUCGUAAAGCUCUGUUGUUAAGGAAGAACGAGUGUGAGAAUGGAAAGUUCAUACUGUGACGGUACUUAACCAGAAAGGGACGGCUAACUACGUGCCAGCAGCCGCGGUAAUACGUAGGUCCCGAGCGUUGUCCGGAUUUAUUGGGCGUAAAGCGAGCGCAGGCGGUUAGAUAAGUCUGAAGUUAAAGGCAGUGGCUCAACCAUUGUAGGCUUUGGAAACUGUUUAACUUGAGUGCAGAAGGGGAGAGUGGAAUUCCAUGUGUAGCGGUGAAAUGCGUAGAUAUAUGGAGGAACACCGGUGGCGAAAGCGGCUCUCUGGUCUGUAACUGACGCUGAGGCUCGAAAGCGUGGGGAGCGAACAG